rnacentral:rRNA from 1 species
UACGGAGGGUGCGAGCGUUGUUCGGAAUUAUUGGGCGUAAAGCGCGUGUAGGCGGUUUUUUAAGUCUGAUGUGAAAGCCCUGGGCUCAACCCUGGAAGUGCAUUGGAAACUGGGAGACUUGAAUACGGGAGAGGGCAGUGGAAUUCCUGGUGUAGGAGUGAAAUCCGUAGAUAUCAGGAGGAACACCGGUGGCGAAGGCGGCUGCCUGGACCGAUAUUGACGCUGAGACGCGAAAGCGUGGGGAGCAAACAGG